GACGGAGGGGGCAAGCGUUGUCCGGAAUUACUGGGCGUAAAGGGCGCGUAGGCGGGUUUCUACGGCGGUGGUGAAAGCUCCUGGCUCAACUGGGAGAGGCCCAUCGCAACGGGGAACCUCGAGGGUGGUAGAGGCAGACGGAAUUCCUGGUGUAGCGGUGAAAUGCGUAGAGAUCAGGAGGAACACCCGUGGCGAAGGCGGUCUGCUGGGCCAUGCCUGACGCUGAAGCGCGAAGGCUAGGGGAGCGAAC
rnacentral:rRNA from 1 species